rnacentral:lncRNA from 1 species
GGGACCUUAGGCAUCUCAGGUUUUGGCAAUUCAGGAACAUUAACCUUAGGUAGCUCAGGCUUUGGAAAUUCAGGGACCUUAGGUAGCUCAGGCUUUGGAAAUUCAGGGACCUUAGGCAUUUCUGGUUUUGGCAAUUCAGGGACAUUGAUCUUUGGUAGUUCAGGCUUUGGCAACUCAGGGACCUUAGGCAUUUCUGGUUUGGGCAAUUCAGGGGCAUUGAGCUUAGGUAGCUCAGGUCUUGCCAAUUCAGGGACCUUAACCUUAGGUAGCUCAGGCUUUUGCAGUUCAGGUACAUUAACCUUGGGUGGCUCGGGAUUUGGCAGCUCAGGAACCUUAGGUAGUUCAGGCUUUGGCAAUUCAGGGACAUUAACCUUAGGUGGCUCAGGCUUUGGCAAUUCAGGAACCUUAGGUAGUUCAGGCUUUGGCAAUUCAGGGACCUUAGGCAAUUCUGGUUUUGGAAAUUCAGGAACAUUAACCUUUGGUAGCUCAGGCUUUGGCAAUUCAGGAAGUUUAGGCAGUUCUGGUUUUGGCAAUUCUGGGAUCUUAGGCAAUUCUGGCUUAGGUAAUUCAGGGACUUCAGGUAAGACAGGCUUCGACUCUAAAAGAAUGCGUGCCCCGGCAACCAUUAUGGGGCUGUUUGCUGACAACAAAGUAAGAUACAAAAAUGGAAAAAUGAUUGUUGACAAACUGAUGGAAGCCAUUGUUGAUUCAAGCUGGUGACUAGAAUUUCAGGAGGUUCAAUAGAAGUUUGAACUCUCUGCAAAUGGUUUUGAUAUGCUCUGCAGGUGUUAUCUAUGGGGCUUUUAUAGAUGAAAUUGUGUACUAUUUGGACAAGCAGGGUGAGUUGGAGGGAUAAUGAAAGUGUUGUUAGUUCAACUUCCUACCUAUAUAGUAUCUCAUCAAACAAAAUAAGAAACGUUGUUGGUCAACUGACCAAUCUACAUUAGAAGGCAAUAAACUAUGAAGGUAUUUUGGACCUUCCAAAUAAGAAAUACCACUUACCCAUGAAAGCCAAUUUUCUCAGUGACAAAGCAACAUCACAACCAAGGAUUACUAGAGAUUUUUUCCAACCAAAACUAUUUUUAUUUAGCUUGCAAAUUUUCUAAUGCCUUGUCAGUAAACUAGAUUCAACUUCAGAACCCCAAAAAGCUUAGUAAAGUAUUCUGUGAGAAUGUAUGAGAAAAGUCAAAGGUUAGGUUAAUCAACCAUAUCAGUACCUUUUGAAAAGCUUUCCAUGCAAACCCAAGCAUAGCCUUUUCUUUACACGUUUAUGCCUCUGAUUAGUUGCUUCAAAUCUUGUAACUUUUCCACCCUACAAAAUACAAAUGUCUAGUAUUAUUAUUGAGUUAUUUGUGAUUUGUGUUGUUGCUGUCCCACUACAUUUCAAAAACUCUAAUACGGAUAUGUGACAAUAAUCUGAUCUCAAUUUGCUGCUGUAGUGACAGAACAUGAUUUAUUAUCACAUCUAUCAUUACUGCUAUUCCCAUUGCCAGCAAAAUCAUAAGAAUGGCAGCACAUGUUACGACCUCACAAGUAGACAUUUACUAAAUAAAAGAUGACAUGAUAGAAAAUGUAAUUUGGAUAAAACCAUAGCACCCUAAAUGUGGAUGUUUUUUACUCAAACAAACUAAAGAUAAUUAAUUGUUGCUUCGAUUGAGUAUACACAGUUUUGGCCUUCUGCAGUAUUUACCAAAAUGUUAAUAAUUGACAUUACCCAAUCUUCAAGGAUCAUGUUGAUAAAAUCUUAAGCAUAAAGUCCAAGAAGAACUAUGAUUAUAGCCCAAGAUACCAUCACCCAAUUCUGACUGAUCACAAUUUCGUGUGUGAUGACAAAGUUAAGUAGAAAUUUGAAAGGGAAGAAGAGCUUUCUAGACAUGUUAGUACUGAUGUAUCUUGUCUGGUUGAAAUAGUCUCAAUAGCAUAAUUGGGAGAUGGAAUGACAACAAUCGAAGCUCUCACUAUUAGACCUGUAUAAAAAUUUAAAAUGCAGAAGGCUUCUUAAUAUCUUUCAUGCUUGGUUUCUGGGCUGCCCAUAUUGAUUUAAUAAUGCUGGCAUGUAAUAUAAUUUUACCUUUCCAUCAAGCUUUAAAUUCAUAUCAAACCAUGCUGCAGCUUUCCAAGUAUUAUGACUGGUUGAAAUAUAAUAUACUUAUGGUAGUGGAUUAUGCAAGCAUCUGGAUUUUACUGUAAAAGAUUACCUAUCACAGAUAAAAUUGCACAAGCAAAAAAGUGCUCAAUUCUCAUCAACUUGUCAAAUCCCUUUCAAACCAAGCAUAUGAAUCAGUGUGCUAAUCAUUAUCUCACCAUUUCAAAGAACCAACCAACCAUUAACCAUGAAGUUUGAGAAAGAAAGAAGGUGGCGAGGAACAACCUCUGUGGAUGGGGGCAUUGGGCCUAAGAAGAGAGGGAAAGCUACCAUUAUGAACACUGAACUUUUUUACUGCUGGAGGCAACACAGAUAGAUAAGUUUUAUUAUGUGAGGUUGCUAAAAAAAAGUUAUGUGGCUACGUUUUAUUUAUUCUUUUACGGAAAUCACGUUUUUGUUAAAGGUAUCUUAACAUGAUUCACAUCACUUUAACUCACGUUUACAAGACUCAAUUCAUUAUGGACAGGCUUAAUUCUGUUAACGCUGGUCCAAACACGCACUUAAUUCUACUAAAGCGGAUCCAAACAAACACUUCAAUUAAUAUUCAGAAUUACACCCAAUUUUUUACUUGAAUUACACUAUUGAUCAAUCUAGAAUGAGAUUAUAACUCAUGGAUUAAGUUAGAGAACCCAUUGAUGAUUAAUUUGUACUUAAUAUCCACACUCAUUGUAUUAGUAAAAGAGUGGCUGGCUACACAAGAUACCAUUCAACCACCUCAGAAUAUCAGUGUAAACGUUAGUCAGAUUGUAACUUUGCUUGUUGUCCAAGAACUCAUGGCUCAACUCCUACUAAUGUAUUAGAUAGUAUCAAUGUUUACUUAAGUAUUUGAUAUAUGCAAAUAAACUCAGAAAUUAAAUCAUCUUUAAAUGAUCCAAGGACAUCAUUCUUCUUUCUUGUUUUAAGAGUAAGAUUAAGGCGGAUUCAGAGUUGCAGACCACAUUUCAUUUCAUGAACGUAAUAACAUAACAGCUCAAACUAAAUUAGAACUUGGAAAUAUAGAAAUCUAUGAAAAAAAAUAUUGCAAUCUUAUUAAAUUCACUGCUUAUACAUGAAGGAUAUGAUACCAGCAAUAGGCAGUGGUAAAAUCAAUUUAAACAAGCUCAAACUAAACAUAAUGUCUAAUCUUAGUAAGGUUCAUACUGAACCAUGACAAUCACUCUCAUGUAACUAUAGCUUAUAACAAAUCAAACAGUACUGAAAAUUAAAUCAUAAUAUCAUAUCACUCCCAUCAAACAGCAUGGACUAGGCACUGGACUGCCAGCUAUAUGACCUGAGACAAGACGACGUAUGGCAUAAUUCCAACUUAAGGACUGGUUGUUGGAAUAGCUUUAGGAAAUUCAGGGACAUUAAUCUUAGGUAGCUCAGGCUUUGGCAACUCAGGAACCUUAGGCAUCUCAGGUUUUGGGAAUUCAGGAACAUUAACCUUAGGUAGUGUGAGUUCUGGUUUUGGCAAUUCAGGGACAUUGAUCUUUGGUAGUUCAGGCUUUGGCAACUCAGGGACCUUAGGCAUCUCUGGUUUUGGCAAUUCAGGGACAUUAAGCUUAGGCAGCUCAGGUUUUGGCAAUUCAGGGACUUCAACUUUUGGUACCUCAGGCUUUGGCAAUUCAGGGACAUUAACCUUGGGUAGCUCAGGCUUUGGCAACUCAGGAACCUUAGGUAGUUCAGGCUUUGGCAAUUCAGGGACCUUAGGCAAUUCUGGUUUUGGCAAUUCAGGAACAUUAACCUUUGGUAGCUCAGGCUUUGGCAGUUCAGGUAGUUUAGGCAGUUCUGGUUU